AUUGAACGCUGGCGGCAGGCCUAACACAUGCAAGUCGAGCGGAUGAAGGGAGCUUGCUCCUGGAUUCAGCGGCGGACGGGUGAGUAAUGCCUAGGAAUCUGCCUGGUAGUGGGGGAUAACGUCCGGAAACGGGCGCUAAUACCGCAUACGUCCUGAGGGAGAAAGUGGGGGAUCUUCGGACCUCACGCUAUCAGAUGAGCCUAGGUCGGAUUAGCUAGUUGGUGGGGUAAGUGCCUACCAAGGCGACGAUCCGUAACUGGUCUGAGAGGAUGAUCAGUCACACUGGAACUGAGACACGGUCCAGACUCCUACGGGAGGCAGCAGUGGGGAAUAUUGGACAAUGGGCGAAAGCCUGAUCCAGCCAGGCCGCGUGUGUGAAGAAGGUCUUCGGAUUGUAAAGCACUUUAAGUUGGGAGGAAGGGCAGUAAGUUAAUACCUUGCUGUUUUGACGUUACCAACAGAAUAAGCACCGGCUAACUUCGUG
rnacentral:rRNA from 1 species